rnacentral:rRNA from 1 species
GACGAACGCUGGCGGCGUGCUUAACACAUGCAAGUCGAACGGAAAGGCCCUGCUUUUGUGGGGUGCUCGAGUGGCGAACGGGUGAGUAACACGUGAGUAACCUGCCCUUGACUUUGGGAUAACUUCAGGAAACUGGGGCUAAUACCGGAUAGGAGCUCCUGCUGCAAGGUGGGGGUUGGAAAGUUUCGGCGGUUGGGGAUGGACUCGCGGCUUAUCAGCUUGUUGGUGGGGUAGUGGCUUACCAAGGCUUUGACGGGUAGCCGGCCUGAGAGGGUGACCGGCCACAUUGGGACUGAGAUGCGGCCCAGACUCCUACGGGAGGCAGCAGUGGGGAAUAUUGCACAAUGGGCGGAAGCCUGAUGCAGCAACGCCGCGUGCGGGAUGACGGCCUUCGGGUUGUAAACCGCUUUCGCCUGUGACGAAGCGUGAGUGACGGUAAUGGGCAAAGAAGCACCGGCUAACUACGUG